AUCCUCACCGUCACGCCGCGCCCGGUCUCAAAUCCCGCUUCUUUAAGCCAGUCGCUCUUAAGGUGCAGGCUGGGGUCGCGUGAAUAUCCGGUGGGGACUUUGGUUUACGGUUUGUGUGGGA
rnacentral:sRNA from 1 species